rnacentral:rRNA from 1 species
AUUGAACGCUGGCGGCAGGCCUAACACAUGCAAGUCGAACGGUAGCACAGAGGGCUUGCUCUCGGGUGACGAGUGGCGGACGGGUGAGUAAUGUCUGGGAAACUGCCAGAUGGAGGGGGAUAACUACUGGAAACGGUAGCUAAUACCGCAUAACGUCGCAAGACCAAAGAGGGGGACAUUCGGGCCUCUUGCCAUCAGCUGUGCCCAGCUGGGAUUAGCUAGUAGGUGGGGUAACGGCUCACCAAGGCGACGAUCCCUAGCUGGUCUGAGAGGAUGACCAGCCACACUGGAACUGAGACACGGUCCAGACUCCUACGGGAGGCAGCAGUGGGGAAUUUUGCGCAAUGGGCGAAAGCCUGACGCAGCAACGCCGCGUGAGCGAAGAAGGCCUUCGGGUUGUAAAGCUCUGUCAGGGGGAAAGAAGGCACCUGGGUUAAUAGCCCAAGGGUUGACGGUACCCCCAAAGGAAGCCACGGCUAACUACGUGCCAGCCGCCGCCGUAACAC